rnacentral:rRNA from 1 species
UGGGGAAUAUUGCACAAUGGGGGAAACCCUGAUGCAGCGACGCCGCGUGAGCGAUGAAGGCUUUCGAGUCGUAAAGCUCUGUCCUAUGGGAAGAUAAUGACGGUACCAUAGAAGAAAGCCCCGGCUAAUUACGUGCCAGCAGCCGCGGUAAUACGUAAGGGGCGAGCGUUGUCCGGAAUUAUUGGGCGUAAAGAGUGCGUAGGCGGCAAAUUAAGUCAGAUGUGAAAACUAAGGGCUCAACCCAUAGAUUGCAUCUGAAACUGAUAUGCUUGAGUCAAGGGGAGGAAAGUGGAAUUCCUAGUGUCGCGGUGGAAUGCGUAGAUAUUAGGAGGAAUACCGGUGGCGAAGGCGACUUUCUGGACUUGAACUGACGCUGAGGCACGAAAGCGUGGGGAGCAAACAGG